UACGAAGGGGGCUAGCGUUGCUCGGAAUUACUGGGCGUAAAGCGCACGUAGGCGGCUUUGUAAGUUAGAGGUGAAAGCCCGGAGCUCAACUCCGGUAUGGCAUUGGAAACUGGGCGGCUUGAGUAUGAUAGAGGUUACGGGAAUUCCUGGUGUAGCGGUGAAAUGCGUAGAUAUCAGGAGGAACACCGGUGGCGAAAGCGCGUAACUGGGUCAUAACUGACGCUGAGGAACGAAAGCCAGGGUAGCAAAAAGG
rnacentral:rRNA from 1 species